rnacentral:rRNA from 1 species
GACGAACGCUGGCGGCGUGCUUAACACAUGCAAGUCGAACGGAAAGGCCUCUUUCGGGGGGUACUCUAGUGGCGAACGGGUGAGUAACACGUGAGUAACCUGCCCUUGACUUUGGGAUAACUUCAGGAAACUGGGGCUAAUACCGGACAGGAGCUCCUGCUGCAUGGUGGGGGUUGGAAAGUUUCGGCGGUUGGGGAUGGACUCGCGGCUUAUCAGCUUGUUGGUGGGGGAGUGGCUUACCAAGGCUUUGACGGGUAGCCGGCCUGAGAGGGUGACCGGCCACAGUGGGACUGAGAGACGGCCCCGACUCCUACUGGAGGCAGCGGUGGGGAAGAUUGCACAAGGGGUGGGGGCCAGAUGCAGCAACGCCGUGGGCGGGAGGACGGCCUUCGGGUUGGAAACCGCUUUCGCUCAUGACGAAGCUUUGUGUGACGGUAGUGGGUAAAGAAGCACCGGCUAACUACGUG